rnacentral:rRNA from 1 species
GACGAACGCUGGCGGCGUGCCUAAUACAUGCAAGUAGAACGCUGAAGAGAGGAGCUUGCUCUUCUUGGAUGAGUUGCGAACGGGUGAGUAACGCGUAGGUAACCUGCCUUGUAGCGGGGGAUAACUAUUGGAAACGAUAGCUAAUACCGCAUAACAAUGGAUGACACAUGUCAUUUAUUUGAAAGGGGCAAUUGCUCCACUACAAGAUGGACCUGCGUUGUAUUAGCUAGUAGGUGAGGUAACGGCUCACCUAGGCGACGAUACAUAGCCGACCUGAGAGGGUGAUCGGCCACACUGGGACUGAGACACGGCCCAGACUCCUACGGGAGGCAGCAGUAGGGAAUCUUCGGCAAUGGGGGCAACCCUGACCGAGCAACGCCGCGUGAGUGAAGAAGGUUUUCGGAUCGUAAAGCUCUGUUGUAAGUCAAGAACGAGUGUGAGAGUGGAAAGUUCACACUGUGACGGUAGCUUACCAGAAAGGGACGGCUAACUACGUGCCAGCAGCCGCGGUAAUACGUAGGUCCCGAGCGUUGUCCGGAUUUAUUGGGCGUAAAGCGAGCGCAGGCGGUUUGAUAAGUCUGAAGUUAAAGGCUGUGGCUCAACCAUAGUUCGCUUUGGAAACUGUCAAACUUGAGUGCAGAAGGGGAGAGUGGAAUUCCAUGUGUAGCGGUGAAAUGCGUAGAUAUAUGGAGGAACACCGGUGGCGAAAGCGGCUCUCUGGUCUGUAACUGACGCUGAGGCUCGAAAGCGUGGGGAGCGAACAGGAUUAGAUACCCUGGUAGUCCACGCCGUAAACGAUGAGUGCUAGGUGUUGGAUCCUUUCCGGGAUUCAGUGCCGCAGCUAACGCAUUAAGCACUCCGCCUGGGGAGUACGACCGCAAGGUUGAAACUCAAAGGAAUUGACGGGGGCCCGCACAAGCGGUGGAGCAUGUGGUUUAAUUCGAAGCAACGCGAAGAACCUUACCAGGUCUUGACAUCCCGAUGCUAUUUCUAGAGAUAGAAAGUUACUUCGGUACAUCGGUGACAGGUGGUGCAUGGUUGUCGUCAGCUCGUGUCGUGAGAUGUUGGGUUAAGUCCCGCAACGAGCGCAACCCCUAUUGUUAGUUGCCAUCAUUCAGUUGGGCACUCUAGCGAGACUGCCGGUAAUAAACCGGAGGAAGGUGGGGAUGACGUCAAAUCAUCAUGCCCCUUAUGACCUGGGCUACACACGUGCUACAAUGGUUGGUACAACGAGUUGCGAGUCGGUGACGGCAAGCUAAUCUCUUAAAGCCAAUCUCAGUUCGGAUUGUAGGCUGCAACUCGCCUACAUGAAGUCGGAAUCGCUAGUAAUCGCGGAUCAGCACGCCGCGGUGAAUACGUUCCCGGGCCUUGUACACACCGCCCGUCACACCACGAGAGUUUGUAACACCCGAAGUCGGUGAGGUAACCUUUUGGAGCCAGCCGCCUAAGGUGGGAUAGAUGAUUGGGGUGAAGU